GUUUAUUGGUGGAAAGGACAUUCGGGCCUCGAAAAACGGGACCAUAAAAAAUAAAACAAAGCAUGUGGGGGGAGGAAUAUCUAGAAAACAGGGAACAACAUGGAUUUAGGGAGGAGAUUUCAGAGGGUAACGGACAGAGGGCAAGGAGGUGGGCGGUUAGAUUAUUCAUUCCCCCCAACUCCAUUCUCACGUUAUCACCCUCCUGCCAUUGAUCUGAGGUAAGUUGUGUGUGUAUAUGAUGUUUAAUAUUAAUAACUUAGCCUAUUUUACUGAAGUAAAAGCUUAUAAAAACAAAAAUAUAUAGGAGGGGUGGGGGAAUCAGCCUUAUCCGCAUAGAAAGAGUUAACAUACCAAAAAGCCCUGAGCUUGCACUCCCCUCCAUAGAACCAUUCCACUGCCAUAUUUAUAAGUCAGGCAGUGGGACAGCCUUACAAGUGCUAACACUCUCUGAAAAUUCUGGGUGCAGACUGACUCCCCCCCCACCUCAACAUUGAAAGAGCAGUUCAAUUCAAGAAAUAUCAGGAGCACAACACUAUAGAGAAGGAAAUGGGAGAAAGACAUUAAAAAACCCUAAAUGUUAGCAUGGCAUUUUCAUUUUUUUCUUUUUUUUUAAUACAGCAUUUAUAGGCUCUCUGCAUAUAAAGAUUACAGUAAAAAAAUAGACAGGCAAUAUUUCUUUGUAGGAUAGGGGGGAAACGGAGAGAAAUUGGAAAAGAGAAGGGUUUGGGGGAGUCCCUGAAAAGAUACAUAGACACAGACAUUACUAGACAACAGUUAACCCCCUUUGUUUUUUUGUUUUUCUUGUUUCAUAGAACAUCAAAGCAUAGAUAAGUUUGCAGAAGGGGGUGAAUUCCCCUUCCUAAUGGCAUGAAGAGGGAAAGAAACCUCCCAUUUGGGGUAAACAAUUCCUUGGGUUUAUACAUUUUUCCAAUUUAAAAAAAAACAACAAAAAGGCAAAAUAAGUAAGUGGAAAUCUACUCUCUUUGCUAUCAACACUAAACUUAAUAUAAAUUCAUGUAUAGCAUUUUAGAGAUUGGCACCAUUGCUUGGCUUUCAUUGCCAAUUGUUUAAACCAUUAGUGCCAUGCUGCAUAAUAGUACUUUUAG